rnacentral:lncRNA from 1 species
CAGAUUCGCCAGAAGGUCAAUGACGAACUCUGGAUUUUGAACUUGUUUGAGCAAUGGUAUGCUGCGCAAGUCACCAUGAUUUGCUCUUGGCUGAGCGAAAGACUUGACCACAACCUCCACCCAUACCAGUGCACCUGCCUCGCACACAUUGUCAAGCUCAUAUUCUCAGAUUUCACAGCGUAUGGCCUAGGCCACGAACAGACUGGGAUUCAGGCCUACAUGGUGGUGAGCCAGCGGGUGGAGGCCGAGCAUCAGCGCCUGAUUCGAAGCGGCAAACUCAAGGAAUAAGUCAACCCUUCCCGUCGUCAAAACCAUGUCCCGUGUUGUUGUCUUAGUCUUAGGAUCUUUUCGUGGCAGGAUGAGUGUUUAGAUGCCUGAGCGCUGCAAACCAAUGACUCUGGCAACCCGAUAACUUCCCCCCACACGCAACAAAGUCGCCAGAACUCUUGUUGGACAUUUCAUAGAUAAUGCGACUUCACAUAUAUUCAAGAUUAUUCCUGACAUCCGGUUUUUGUCCAGUACUUACCUAUGCAAAGCAAGAUCUACAGACCAUCAUUAACAUGUGAUUUGCCUUGGCUGCCAUAUUUAUUUGGUGCAGCUUUGGGACCAUCACCAAGUAAAAGCUAUAUAUCUAUCUAUAUCUGUAUAUAUAUAUACCAGUGUUUCUCUUUGACAUGCAGGAGUUUAAGCACUCUUCCUAUAGACAGAACUCACACUUCCCUUGAUCUACGGGAGUCCUUCGAGCUACUGUGGAGAAGGUGGCUGCUGGUGACCUACUACACAUGUGUUAUUAUAUCUUCUAGAAUCUUACCUCUAACACACAGUUUCGAUGUUUAUAUUUUGCUGUGCUGUGUUUUAUUCAUUUAUAAAGCUAUGAUUCUGAUUCUAUAGUCAUGGGAUAUGAUGAUAAUAAUAAUAAUAACCAUUGGUCUUAAGUAAUAUCUUACUGCUGUAAGCCACUUAAAAGGGAAUAUAAUGAAUGAGUUAUUGAACAGUAUGUCAUUCUGCUAAGAUAUAUCAGCUAUAUACAUGAUAUGGGAAUAAGACAGAUACAGAAAGAAAUUCUCUUAAUGAUCAGUAGACACAUUUAUUUGGGAAACCUUAGACAACAUUGAGAAUUUGUGUGCAAAUAAUAUUGUGACAUUUAAGCAUCUAAUGGGGAAUAGUAAAGUAAUUGACUCAAGUGUAUGUUUGAUGCUCUAAAAAGGCUUUAUCCGGAAUCUGAUUAAUAUCAAAAUAUUGAUCUUAAGAUAUAUUUAUAUUCUUUUUUCCCUAUUUAUUAAAAAGAGAAACUACUAUGAAAAGCACAUGAUACAAUAGCAUUAUAUCUCCCAGUUAUGAUUUCUGACUUCUUUCAUUUUAUUUUUUUCGCAGACUCGUUUCAGUCCCAUCUUCAUUCUUUUAGUUAAAUGAAAAUAACCUUCUACUGUGUCACUGCAUGUGCUUUGGAUAUGUACCUUUGCUCAAAAUUUAAUGUCCUAAUUCUUUUCUUAAAAGAAAAAGAAAUCAGUGUUUGCUCCUCCACUUAUAACAUGACCAUGGCCGCUGGGUUUACUCAGCCCAACAGUAAAAGCAUUCACAUUGAUCAGUAAUAUAUGGGUAUUGCUAUAAUCUAAAAUGGGUAAAAUAGCAUUCCGAAUCUGCAUUUCUGUUAUGAUGAUGAUGAAGAAGUUAGAUGAUACUGCCAAUGAUAUGAUAUAUUAAUUCCAAAGAAGCUUUUCUUCAUAUUUUGUUUUAACUUUGUAUAAUUAUGAUCAAUCUAAUAUAUCCGGAUGGGUCUCUUAUAUUUUUUCUGUGUGAUAUGAGACAGUGAUUUCCAAAAUAUGAAAAAUUUAUUCAAUGAAGAUAUAAGUAUAUAUUCCCAAUUGACAUAGACUCAUUCCAUUAUUUGAUGUUGAACUUUUUCCUUCUUUGAUAUUUCUAUUUUUUAUAAUUCAGAUUUAAAUUACAUAGGAUAUUUUAAGGUAAUUUUUUAUGUGCUACAGCUGUGGUUACCAUUCAUAUA